GACGAACGCUGGCGGCGUGCUUAACACAUGCAAGUCGAACGGAAAGGCCCUGCUUUUGUGGGGUGCUCGAGUGGCGAACGGGUGAGUAACACGUGAGUAACCUGCCCUUGACUUUGGGAUAACUUCAGGAAACUGGGGCUAAUACCGGAUAGGAGCUCCUGCUGCAUGGUGGGGGUUGGAAAGUUUCGGCGGUUGGGGAUGGACUCGCGGCUUAUCAGCUUGUUGGUGGGGUAGUGGCUUACCAAGGCUUUGACGGGUAGCCGGCCUGAGAGGGUGACCGGCCACAUUGGGAAUGGGAUACGGCCCAGACUCCUACGGGAGGCAGCAGUGGGGAAUAUUGCACAAUGGGCGGAAGCCUGAUGCAGCAACGCCGCGUGCGGGAUGACGGCCUUCGGGUUGUAAACCGCUUUCGCCUGUGACGAAGCGUGAGUGACGGUAAUGGGUAAAGAAGCACCGGCUAACUACGUG
rnacentral:rRNA from 1 species